UCUGCAUAUUGUAACUGUUUACGUAGCCUCAUUGUAAUAAAAGUUUUGUACUGCUGGAAUAAGACUGUGUGAGUGAUAUUCUUGCAGGUAGUUUAAUUAAGCUAGUGAUUGUGUGUUAAUAUGUAUAAGCCUUUCACUAAAGAGUAUAGCAAACAGACACUAAGAUUUAUAGAGUCUUAGGUACCAUUUUAAUGCAGUUAUUUCAUUGGCGAGCCGAACCAGCGAUAAUUUUCUUACCAACUACACUUGUUUAAAGGGGGGACAAAUCCAGGUAAUUUUUAUAAUACAAGUGUGAUUUUUGGACGAAAAUUGAACCUAGUUUUUGCUAUACUGUUUUUGAGUUGAGCGUUUCAGCAGUAAAGUCUUUGGCCAAGACUACAGAUCCAGAGAGGCAUUACCUAAGGAUCAGUUGAACCAGACGCAGAGAAAAUCAUAUUGCGCAGGACGUGAAUCUGAUUUGCUGGCAGUCUGAAGACACUUUAAAGUAUUUCAUUAUGUGGAGCCUGAGAGGAAUGAUCGCCACAAACCUAUUUGUAUUUGUGUGGGUGUUAUUGCAAAAACUUCCAAUCUGUGACUGUAAUGAACUUUCAAUGACCAACCUCACAAGGAGUCGUAGAUGGAGCCCAAGCAGCAUCAUCAGAGGAUGGACAGGCUUAUGGAGCUCUCAAGACCUUAGCAAAGAUUGUUUGGGAAAAUUGACUUUUAAUGUGGGUGGGAAGAUUGAAAUAUUUGCAGAGAAACAUCAAGACCAUUUAAUUGGUUUUUGGAGGGUCAAUCAGGGUAAUAAAGUUGAAUGGGAAUGUAAGUGGGUGGCUUGGGGACAAUGGACUGUAGGUUUGGUGGGAGAAGGUAUUUCUGUGUCUACAACAUUUACAAAUCCUAUUCACACUAUAAAUGGCGACAACUAUAAUAUAAACAAGGUUAUAUUUGAACAACAAAUUGGAGAAGGGAUUAAUUGGAGGGUUACAGCUGCCAACUUUGGUGGAGGGAUUGAAGUAUACUUAAAAAUAGAUUAAAAAAAAGGAAACAUCUACUUUUGCACCUUUGAUCUAUUCUACUUUAAUCACUACACCAAAGGGGAAACAUGACAAUACUCCAAUGUGUGAGGGGAAAAAAUGUUGUUUCUAGCGGUCCAUUUCAAACAAGUACAAUCAAGCCAAUUCCAGUAUUGAGGGAUGCCACAUUCCAAUUUAUCACGUGGAAGAUUAAAAUAAUAGAUUGGCUAGUUUCCACACAUUACCAAAAUUGUUCCAGAAUUACUGCCACUAUGGAAAAAGCAUUAGUUAAGUGGGCAGAAGGUACUAGGAGAAGGACUAGGAGGGAUAUUGUGGAUACAGUUUUGGGAGGUGUGGGAACAGGGCUAGGGGUGGUAAAUUCCAUUGACAUAUCCAGCUUAACAGCAACCUUACAGUCUCAGGGGAUGUUAAAUGCAAAAGGGAUUCAUACGCAACAAAUGAUAAACACCCUGGUAGACACUGACACAGACAGUCAUUCAAGUUCAGGGUCCUGCCAUUCAAAAUACAGAGGAAAUACUGAUAGGAGUAAUUAGUAGGUUAAGGGAAGUAUCCUGGUAUUUUGUGUGUAUUUCCAUGCAAACAGAAUUAUCAACUGACUUUAAAUUAAUAGCACAGGCUAUGGAAAAUAACCAUACACCUUUAGGAGGGUGGGAGCAGUCUGUGGUUAACAGUUUUGCAUCAAAACACAGAGAAUUAUGGUUAAACAGUUGGUUGGGCUGCAUGGAAAAUAUAUGCAGGGCUACUUCACUUGUGCCCACUAGUGGUACCUAUCAGAAUGUUUAUCAUUUGUUUUCACUAGGAAUACCUGUCACAGAAUCUCAUGUUCUACAUCAUGAGUUAGAGUUCCCAAAUUUUAUAUGGAAUGGUUCCCAUAUGGAACAGGUAGACAUGUCUGGCUGCAUAAGGUUUCCUUCUAAAAUGUUAUGUCUACCCAACCAGGCAAGAAUAAUUUUUGAUUCCUGAUGGCAUAAUCACUCAUAUUGCAAUGGCUUUGUGGAGAAAGUUAAUCCCAAGAUAUGAUUUUUCCCUUAGGACAAGGAAAGGUGUGUUUUGUUGCAUUGAAGCCUAAAGAUGAAGUGCAUGUAUGGUUUGACAGAUGUAAUUCGAAGGGAACAAAUCACACCAGGGAUUUAUUGUAUUGCUGGGUACCCUGUGAGGAUAAGUUCACUAAAGUUUAACUUCACUGUCCCACAGUUACUCUCAUAUAACGCUACCUUGGGGGCUCCACUCAUAACCCCAAUAUUAGUAGAUGAUGCACCUUGGCAAAAAUGGGUAACCUUAUUGCAAAAAGACUCUGUGUUACUAGAACAUCUUAAAAGUUUUGGGGAACGUAUUCAUGUAAAUUUCUACCAUCAGGAACAAGAACUACAAAGGAUUGAACAUAGUUAUUCAGAGAUGUCAAGUUCUACCUGGUGGCAGAAAUUAGCAAAUUCCUUUUCGAAACAGUCAUCAUGGGGUUCUGCAUUGGGAAAUCUGUUCAUACAUCCAUUUAUAAUCAUAUUAUUUAUUUCUAUAUUAUGUAUAAUUAUUCAAAUUUGUAUGUGUUGUUAUUUAAAAUCAUUAAUUGCACGUGUAUAUCACUUAUAUUAUGGUAUGCGAAUGGAGGCAUCCUUAGUACACUAAUAUAGCCAUAACACAUAGGUGGGGUUAGGAAUGUUCUAACAGAUUCACUCAUAUAAAACAAUCAUUGGAAUGGAAGGGUAUGGUAACCUCCAUUGCCAAAAGGGGGGAAUGUAAUAAGGGCAUAAAUCUGUAAGAACUCAGAUAUUGUCCAGAAGGGAUAUUAUGGCAUUAUACUGUAAGAACUCAGCUGUGUAUUCAGGAAGGGGUUAAUGUAUAUAGAGACCCUUUGACCAAAUGCAUUCCCUUCCCCCAGACCACAUGGCAUUGUAACCAAAUACCUGGACAUUACAAAAGGGUGCUUGCUUAUGAGUGACAUCAUCAUUGUGGGAGGGAUGAAAAACUUACAAUAAAAGUACCAGGAAUACUGGGACUCAUUAUUUUUCUUACCUUUGGGAUGCUCUGAGAACAUCAAGUAAGUGAUCCUUGCAGACUCAUAAUUACAGCACACCAUACUUUCACAUAGAUUGGGCAAAUGUAUAAUAGUGUAUUAUUGAUGUAUAGUUCACUGCUGAGUAUGUAUAAGUGAUUUGCAUAUGUGUAAUUUAUAUUUAAUCUGCAUAUUGUAACUGUUUACGUAGCCUCAUUGUAUUAAAAGUUUUGUACUGCUGGAAUAA